AAUCAACGCUGGCGGCGUGCCUAACACAUGCAAGUCGAGCGAGAGGGGGUAGCAAUACCCUAGUAAAGCGGCGCACGGGUGAGUAACACGUGGAUAACCUGCCUCGAAGUGGGGAAUAAC
rnacentral:rRNA from 1 species